UACGAAGGGGGCUAGCGUUGCUCGGAAUGACUGGGCGUAAAGCGCGCGCAGGCGGUCCUUUAAGUCUGAUGUGAAAGCCCACGGCUCAACCGUGGAGGGUCAUUGGAAACUGGGGGACUUGAGUGCAGAAGAGGAAAGUGGAAUUCCAAGUGUAGCGGUGAAAUGCGUAGAGAUUUGGAGGAACACCAGUGGCGAAGGCGACUUUCUGGUCUGUAACUGACGCUGAGGCGCGAAAGCGUGGGGAGCAAACAGG
rnacentral:rRNA from 1 species